AUUUUACUCCCUUGUCGGGGAACACAAUGGGCAAAAAACACGAUAAAGCCCUAAUGUCCGAGAUAGCGGAGAACUCCUGCAAAAUAAUAUGGCGCUGGAAGACGACAGCUCUCUCUACUCCUCAGACGGCACCCCCUCGGAUCUUGGAGAGGGACCAUCCAGAGGCCCGGCACUGGGCUUGCCACCUGAGCACUCUCCCACACAUCCAC